rnacentral:rRNA from 1 species
UAGGGAAUCUUCCGCAAUGGACGCAAGUCUGACGGAGCAACGCCGCGUGAGUGAAGAAGGUUUUCGGUUCGUAAAACUUUGUUGUUAGAGAAGAACAGCGCAUUGAGUAACUGUUAUGCGUGUGACGGUAUCUAACCAGAAAGCCACGGCUAACUACGUGCCAGCAGCCGCGGUAAUACGUAGGUGGCAAGCGUUGUCCGGAUUUAUUGGGCGUAAAGCGAGCGCAGGCGGUCAAUUAAGUCUGAUGUGAUAGCCCGCGGCUCAACCGGGGGGGGUCAUUGGAAACUGGUUGACUUCAUUGCAGCAGGGGAGAGUGGGAUUCCAUGUGUGGCGGUGAAAUGCAUAGAUCUAUGGAGGAACGCCAGUGGCAAAGGCGACUCUCUGGUCUGUAACUGACGCUGAGGCUCGAAAGCGUGGGUAGCAAACAGG